GGCGGAGUGGAGCAGUAGCAGCUCGCUUGGCUCAUAACCAAGAGGACGGUGGUGCAAGUCCAUCCUCCGCAACCA
rnacentral:tRNA from 1 species